GACGAACGCUGGCGGCGUGCCUAAUACAUGCAAGUAGAACGCUGAAGGAGGAGCUUGCUUCUCUGGAUGAGUUGCGAACGGGUGAGUAACGCGUAGGUAACCUGCCUGGUAGCGGGGGAUAACUAUUGGAAACGAUAGCUAAUACCGCAUAAUAGCAGUUGUUGCAUGACAACUGUUUGAAAGGUGCAAUUGCACCACUACCAGAUGGACCUGCGUUGUAUUAGCUAGUUGGUGGGGUAACGGCUCACCAAGGCGACGAUACAUAGCCGACCUGAGAGGGGGGUCAGCCACACUGGGACUGAGACACGGCCCAGACUCCUACGGGAGGCAGCAGUAGGGAAUCUUCGGCAAUGGAUGGAAGUCUGACCGAGCAACGCCGCGUGAGUGAAGAAGGUUUUCGGAUCGUAAAGCUCGGUUGUAAGAGAAGAACGAGUGUGAGAGUGGAAAGUUCACACUGUGACGGUAUCUUACCAGAAAGGGACGGCUAACUACGUG
rnacentral:rRNA from 1 species